rnacentral:rRNA from 1 species
UAGGGAAUCUUCGGCAAUGGACGGAAGUCUGACCGAGCAACGCCGCGCGAGUGAAGAAGGUUUUCGGAUCGUAAAGCUCUGUUGUUAGAGAAGAACGUUGGUAGGAGUGGAAAAUCUACCAAGUGACGGUAACUAACCAGAAAGGGACGGCUAACUACGUGCCAGCAGCCGCGGUAAUACGUAGGUCCCGAUCGUUGUCCGGAUUUAUUGGGCGUAAAGCGAGCGCAGGCGGUUCUUUAAGUCUGAAGUUAAAGGCAGUGGCUUAACCAUUGUACGAUUUAGAAACUGGAGGACUUGAGUGCAGAAGGGGAGAGUGGAAUUCCAUGUGUAGCGGUGAAAUGCGUAGAUAUAUGGAGGAACACCGGUGGCGAAAGCGGCUCUCUGGUCUGUAACUGACGCUGAGGCUCGAAAGCGUGGGGAGCAAACAGG